UACGUAGGGUGCAAGCGUUAAUCGGAAUUACUGGGCGUAAAGCGUGCGCAGGCGGCUAUGCAAGACAGAUGUGAAAUCCCCGGGCUCAACCUGGGAACUGCAUUUGUGACUGCAUGGCUAGAGUACGGUAGAGGGGGGUGGAAUUCCGCGUGUAGCAGUGAAAUGCGUAGAUAUGCGGAGGAACACCGAUGGCGAAGGCAAUCCCCUGGACCUGUACUGACGCUCAUGCACGAAAGCGUGGGGAGCAAACAGG
rnacentral:rRNA from 1 species